rnacentral:sRNA from 1 species
UGGUUUUGGAGGAAAUCGCCUCAAAUUCCUUGCAAUGGGUCAAGGUCAAGAAAAGGUGGCCCUGCAGCUGCUGGAGACGGCAGUGGCUCGGGGGCAGUGGCUGAUGCUGCAGAACUGCCACCUCCUGGUCAAGUGGCUGAAAGAUCUGGAGAAGUCCCUAGAGAGGAUCACCAAGCCCCACCCAGACUUCCGCCUGUGGCUCACCACGGACCCCACCAAGGGGUUCCCCAUUGGGAUUCUGCAGAAGUCCCUAAAGGUUGUCACCGAGCCACCCAAUGGGCUGAAACUCAACAUGAGGGCAACUUACUUCAAGAUCUCUCACGAAAUGCUGGACCAGUGCCCGCACCCUGCCUUCAAGCCUCUGGUCUACGUGCUGGCGUUCUUCCAUGCUGUGGUGCAGGAAAGAAGAAAGUUUGGGAAGAUUGGCUGGAACGUGUACUAUGACUUCAAUGAGUCUGACUUCCAGGUGACAGCGGCUGCUUCUCCUUGGAAAUGGCUUCCUUAGGCGGCCCACUUCCUCCUGACUUUCCUCCAGGUUCAACCACAGCAGGAUUGCACCGUUCCCAACAGCCUUUUCAGAAAAGUAUCAGAAUGUGAACAGCUUGGUGGGUUUCAGCAUAACUGAGCGUGUUCUCUUCUUUCAAGGUCUGCAUGGAAAUUCUGAACACGUACUUAACGAAAGCCUUCCAGCAACGGGACCCGAGGAUCCCGUGGGGCAGCC